UCCACACAACUCAUGGAAGCCUCAGGGCUCCCCCUGCCCUGCCCCCAAGAGCAGGAACGCCCUGCGAGUGUGCAACAGAGAAAAGCUCCUGUUUCCUCCAUGGUCCGUUGGUGCGCGGUCCCUCCCACACGCAGAGCCCCUCCCCGGGGUUCAGGGAGGCAAAGGACAUGAACCCCUUCCACCACCCCAAUGUUCUCCCACUCAGUGGGCUUCUCUGUUCGGCCCCCACGUUGCAGCUGGAACCUCGCGUCUAUAACUGGGGCUGCCUUUGCUUGCUCCGCUGUGACCCCACGCUGCCAGGCUCUGAUUCUCAUCUCUCUCCACCUGGAGUCCACCUUCUGCACCGAAAGCUCGGGACAGCUCAAUUUCAAUCACCGCAAGUCUGUAAGAAGCUUCCGUAUCUGAUUUGCACGAUUCAGGGUCGGCUCAAAGUAGGGUGAAUGACGGAGCAGCCUCCUCUGGGAGAGCUCACGACCGCCCGGAAGGUGUCUGAUGCGGCGGAUUCAGAGAUGGCCUCUGGGAGGGGCUGGUCGUCAGGUGGGGCUGCCGAGGGCCUUGGAGGGAGACCCCAGCUCCCUGCCCACGAGGCUAGGCCUGUGAGACCACUCCCACCCACCUCCUGGGAUCUGCUGGUCUAUGUGCCGGGGCAUCCAUGCUGACAGAUGGACAUCCCGCUACCCCAGAGAGAAGAGAAAGACUGCAAGGUGGAGAAGCCUGGCUGAAGCUUGGGGACUCACACUCACCAUCUCCACCUUCCUCGUGUGCUCAUUCAUCCUUCAUUCUCACAAUCAUUCAUUCAUUCAUUAUUUAUUGAGUGCUUGGGGGUGGACAGGGAGGGAACCAAGAUGGACAGAACAGGGUUGUUGUCUUCAUGGAUCACAGAGGCCCUGAGCGCUG